CCAUACACACAGGUACAGACAGCUUCAACACAGUCUCCAGGCCCUAACCCAUACACACAGGUACAGACAGCUUCAACACAGUCUACAGGCCCUAACCCAUACAGACAGCUUCAACACAGUCUACAGGCCCUAACCCGUACAGACAGCUACAACACAGUCUACAGGCCCUAACCCAUACACACAGGUACAGACAGCUUCAACACAGUCUGCAGGCCCUAACC